GGGCGUUUGGCGCAGUGGUAGCGCGUAUGCUUUGCAAUGUGUAGCUGCAUAAGGUCCAGGGUUCAAAACCCUGAACGUCCA